CGGGUGCUCCAGAUAGUUAAGCAUGCACAGCUUAUCUUCGAUUCUGACAUCAGGGAAUGAUGGAGACUCUUUGAAAUUGACUACGAACACUACAUCAACAUUGUUCACCGAAAUGAACCAGCUGCUGUCAAGGCUUCCCUCCUACUUAACCUGGUGGGACCCGAAGCCAUGAUGAGAGCGCGGACCUUUGAAUAUGCACCAGCCGUUCACAAUGCCAACGAUC